rnacentral:rRNA from 1 species
GUCGAACGGUAACAGGGAGCUUGCUCCGCUGACGAGUGGCGAACGGGUGAGUAAUAUAUCGGAACGUACCCAAGAGUGGGGGAUAACGUAGCGAAAGUUACGCUAAUACCGCAUACGAUCUAUGGAUGAAAGCAGGGGAUCUUCGGACCUUGUGCUCCUGGAGCGGCCGAUAUCUGAUUAGCUAGUUGGUGAGGUAAAGGCUCACCAAGGCGACGAUCAGUAGCUGGUCUGAGAGGACGACCAGCCACACUGGAACUGAGACACGGUCCAGACUCCUACGGGAGGCAGCAGUGGGGAAUUUUGGACAAUGGGCGCAAGCCUGAUCCAGCAAUGCCGCGUGAGUGAAGAAGGCCUUCGGGUUGUAAAGCUCUUUUGUCAGGGAAGAAACGGGAUUGGCUAAUAUCCAGUCCUAAUGACGGUACCUGAAGAAUAAGCACCGGCUAACUACGUGCCAGCAGCCGCGGUAAUACGUAGGGUGCAAGCGUUAAUCGGAAUUACUGGGCGUAAAGCGUGCGCAGGCGGUUUUGUAAGUCUGACGUGAAAUCCCCGGGCUCAACCUGGGAAUUGCGUUGGAGACUGCAAGGCUAGAAUCUGGCAGAGGGGGGUAGAAUUCCACGUGUAGCAGUGAAAUGCGUAGAGAUGUGGAG